CUCCGACGACGUGGCAACCAACUUAGCUGCUGCUGACUUAGUAGCACUUUUUUCAAUUCCUGGCUGCGGUUAGUCCAAGGGUGCAAAAGAACAUGAAGGGGUUUCCUGAAGGCAUCCUUUUUUUGAUGGGCCUACUAUUUUUAAUAUCCUCGCUGGAACCCUCUAUUGUGGAUGCUAUAAAUCUUCCACCAUUACACAGAGUUUUCACAAGACUAUUCCGAAGACAGCGAUCACGACCCGAAUUGCCCUCCUUCCCAGCACAAAAGAGCUCCAAGUAUAACAAUAACAAGUCAGCGGCAGAAUGAAAACACCACUUUUGCAGGCAGCUUCACAUCCUUGUAAUCUAGAACCUUGGAAAACAGAGUUGAGAUUUUUUCUUGUCUACAAGAUACGAGUUUCACCAAAAUGGUCAAGACAAAAAGGAUUGAAGAUGCCUAAGAACAUGAAAUGGCAAAGUCCUAAUGCAUGAAACAAAUGCGCAAGAAUUCAUUUUUUUUUUUGUGUAACUGAAU